CGCAGAGGGGCGGUUGUCAGUGGCGUCCUGCGCUUCUGAUAACGCUGGCUAUCGCUCUCAUUCAUAGCGGACUCUUCGCGCCGAAACACUGGAUGACAAACCCAUCCGCUUCAGCUACAGUUAACCGAAAUAUUGCCAAUAUUCAUUCAGCCGGAGGAGAUGAAGUUGCGGUGGGGCUGGACGUGUCUCUUGUUGCUCUCCAUCUCCAUGGUAACAUGGGCCCAGAAAGAAGAGCUGGAUGAUGAAGAGGAGGCUCAAGUGGAAGAUGGAGAUGUGGACAUGGAUACAGACAGCGGAGAAAGCACUGAAGCAGACGCCAAUGUGUCUUUUGAGGUAACAUACAAGACCCCAGUUCCAACAGGAGAAGUGUACUUCACUGCGACAUUUGAUGACGAGUCUUUGAGCAGUUGGCAGGUGUCUAAAACAAUGAAAGAGGAUGCUGAUGAAGAUAUUGCAAAAUACGACGGUAAAUGGGAGGUUGAGCCCCUGAAGGAAAACAAGGUGCCUGGUGAUUUGGGCUUGGUUCUGAAAUCUCGUGCUAAGCACCAUGCCAUCUCUGCUCUGCUUAACAAACCCUUUGUAUUUAAGGACAAGCCCCUUAUCGUACAGUAUGAGGUCAACUUUCAAAACGGAAUUGACUGUGGCGGCGCUUACAUCAAGCUAUUGUCAGACUCAGAAGAUUUAGACCUGGAGCAGUUUCAUGACCGGACACCGUACAGCAUCAUGUUUGGGCCGGACAAAUGCGGAGAGGACUACAAACUGCACUUCAUCUUCAGACAUAAAAACCCUCUUAAUGGAGAUGUGGAAGAAAAACAUGCCAAACGACCAGACAUUGAUCUGAAGAAGAUCUACACCGAUAAAAAGACUCACCUCUAUACACUUGUUUUAAAUCCAGACAAUAGCUACGAGAUGUUUAUAGACCAGUCCAGUGUUAGCAGGGGAAGUCUGUUGACAGAUGUCGUUCCUCCUGUGAACCCUCCAAAAGAGACUGACGAUCCCAAAGACUCCAAGCCAGAGGACUGGGAUGAGAGAGCCAAAAUCUCUGACCCAGAAGCAGUCAAACCUGAAGACUGGGAUGAGGAUGCCCCAGCCAAGGUGCCUGAUCCUGAUGCAGUGAAGCCUGAGGGUUGGUUGGAAGAUGAGCCAGAGUUUGUGUCUGACCCCACUGCAGAAAAGCCUGAUGACUGGGAUGAAGAAAUGGAUGGAGAAUGGGAGGCUCCUCAGGUGCCAAAUCCAGCAUGUGCAGCUGCUUCUGGCUGUGGUGAAUGGAAGCCGCCCAUGAUCAACAAUCCUCAGUAUAAGGGCAAAUGGAAAGCUCCUCUCAUAGACAACCUCAACUACCAGGGUGUGUGGAGUCCACGGAAGAUUGCAAACCCUGACUACUUUGAGGAUCUUCACCCGUUUAGGAUGGAUUCAUUCAGUGGUGUGGGUCUUGAGCUGUGGUCUAUGACCUCUGACAUUUACUUUGACAAUUUCAUGAUUACCUCGGAAAAGGAAGUGGCGGACCGCUGGGCUGCAGACAGCUGGGGACUCAAAAAACUGGUGGCUAGUGCCAAUGAGCCUGGAGUGUUGAGUCAGUUGGCACUGGCUGCGGAAGAGAGGCCCUGGCUGUGGGUGGUUUACAUCCUUACCGUUGGUUUGCCUAUUGGACUGGCUGUGCUCUUCUGCUGGCCAAAGAAGUCGGAUGAUGACUAUGUAUACAAGAAAAUCGAUCAGCCCAAAGCUGAACCAGAGGAGGUAGCAGAAGAAGAGGAGGAGGAAGACGAGGUGGAAAAAGGGAAAGAUGAAGAUGAAGAAGCGAAAGCAGAGGAAGAUACUGAAGCUACUGGUAAUGAGAAUGGGGAAGGGAUGGACAAUGACAUUGGAAAAGAUGGUGGCGAUACAGAGGAGGAGGAAGAGGAAGAAGAGGCCAGUAAGCCAAAUGACACGCCCUCAGAGGAUGAAGAUUAAUACUCAUCUGCCUCUGGAUGGUGCUGUGAACCCAGACACGUCGACGUUUGGCUUUCCGGCGUAUAUGGGACUUCCACAACAGAUGAAGGACGCCGAUGAAGGAAUUCUGAGCACAGGAGAAGAAGCUAAAGCUGUGAGAAAGAGAAGAGUACGGAAGGACUGAAAAUCCACAUUUUCCCCACGUUUCUUCCUCCCUUCUCUCUUUCCUUUGCCUCUUUUUGCUGCAUGCUUUCGGCAAUAUGCCCUUCAGCAUGCAAAAAAACGGCAAACCUAGCCGCUCUCCUGAAGAGGUCAAUCUUCAACCGACUGAACCUCGCCUCUCCUCUUUCAGUCUUCCGCUUAGUUCUUAUUGGUUACAGUUGGGAUUUAGAUACAAAAGUCAGACCUGCUGAGUUUUAGCUCCAAGUUUUGCCUAUUUUUUCUUUUUAGAUUACAAUUCAAGUAGUACUGGGCCAGUGUUUCCCUACUAGUAAGUCUAAAUACUGUGAAGGGAAAUGUACAGUGCAUAUUUUAGAAAGACGAACUAGUUUAUGAUCACCUCAACGUUUCUGUUUAAGUUAUUAAAAAAAGGGUUCAGUUCCUUGUGAGUUUUUAAGUUAUGAGCUUUUUAACAUGAUCAAAUUGCUCUGAUCGUAUUUAUUGUUUGUAUCUUGUUUGAAAAAUGAUGCAAUUGAGUUUAGAUAUAGGACUUUUUAAUCUUGCAUUCUACUGUCAUUACCACUGUUAGCAGGCUCUGGAGGAGAGCUCCGCCAAACCGGGAGCUGCCUUCACCAAACAUCUAGGUCAGUGAAGUGCUAGGAAUGCAAAUCAGUAUUGCUUUUUUGGCAUCGAAGAAAGUCGUUACGCACAGUCAGAGCUGAUCUCAGCUCCGCGUCAUCACUGACACACUCUAACAGCAGACCCAGACACAAGCACACUGAAAAUAGACUGACCACCAUGUAUGAAACCAUUGAGCUUUGGAAGCAGACAGGUUGUUUUUCAAGUGAUGAACAGUUUUGUUUUUCUGCUUUUUUUUAGGUUGUGUGCUCUGCCUUAUAAGGACAGCCUUUUGUUUACAUGUUUGCAAA